rnacentral:lncRNA from 1 species
AGCUGAGAUAAUGUUGAAGAUGGUGUUAAAGAUAGCUCUUGAAUGCUCUCUGAAAUCUGUCUUGAAUCUCUCUCUUUUCUCUCUUUUUUUGGAUAUUCAAUGAAGCUCUCAAACUUGAAUGAUUUCUUCUUUCAAUCUACUUUUUUUUUCUUUGAUUCUCUACCUUUAAAUAGGCUUGACAGAGGCUGAAGAAAGUAUUCUAGCCAUUGGAAGAGCUGAAGUAGCC